rnacentral:rRNA from 1 species
GACGAACGCUGGCGGCGUGCUUAACACAUGCAAGUCGAACGAAGUGGCGAACGGGUGAGUAACGCGUAAUCAACCUGCCCUUCAGCGGGGGAUAACAGUUGGAAACGACUGCUAAUACCGCAUACUGAAGGAGGGGAUUGCGUCUGAUUAGGUAGUGGGAGGGGUACCGGCCCACCAAGGCGAGGAUCAGUAGCAGGGCUGAGAGGAGGAACGGCAACAUUGGGACUGAGACACGGCCCAGACUCCUAAGGGAGGCAGCAGGGGGGAAUCUUCCGCAAUGGACGAAAGUCUGACGGAGCAACGCCGCGUGAGUGAUUACGGGCUUCGGGUUGGAAAGCUCUGUUAAUCGGGACGCGGUACCGGAAUAGAAAGCCACGGCUAACUACGUGCCAGCAGCCGCGGUAAUUC